AAUAUUAUGUAGGGCUAUAAUAAUAUAUAAUUUUAGAAAAUGUUAGUGUCAGUAAUGAAGGACAGAUCUAAGGGGAAUAUGCUAUAUUAUCAAUCCUUGAGCCACUAGUGCUAAUUUUCGUUAUUUAUUUGCUUGUCCAGCUGUUCUUAAUUUCUUCAGGAUGAUCGUACUCUCUUUGGUAUAGGACAACUUCGUAACUUGGAACGCCACAGAAACACGGGCCGCGUCCGAUCGGGGGUGGGGAGGACCCCACGUGGGAGCUCUUUGCGGUCACGCUCUGCCCUCAUGUGGUCACCAUUAGGGUGCUCGCACCGUCACGAAAAAAGCCGACGAGAUCCGGCCGGGCGAAUGAACGCCGUCCGCAUCUCAAUGAAGGGAAAAGCAGGUAUAGAUGAUGGCGACCUUGGCUGCGUUUCAGGAAUGGACGUACAGAUGGAUUCAUGUCGACGUGGUGGCGGAGCCCGCUGGACGGCGUUUGUGCCAAAUCCACAUCACAGAGACGGCCGUACCGAGAACCGAACUCGGGCAGCCGCUGGAUGAUGCGCACCCUGGACACAAUAAGAGCGGCGCUGUGAUUCCCAUUACGCCUACCGAAGAAACAGGUCCCUUUAACCCACACGAUCAGCUAAAAUCACGGUGAAAAUAAUGACUUUAAAGUAACUUUGCUUUUAGUAUACUAGCCUAGUCUGCGGGGGUCACAAGCGAUACGACGGGACGGUCCAAAGAUGCCUUCCCGCAUCCUGCACAUAGUCUGUCAGCACUCUGAUUAGCAAAUGCCUGGUUUUAACACAAUCGCGCCAUUUCUAUGUUGUAUUGUUUGUUUUCUGUUCCAUAGUUUUCCAAAAGAAUACACUCUCCCUUUUUGGAGUUGGGAUCUGGAAAAUGUAUUUUGUCUUUUUGCGGCAACGUACUAAAAAUAUACUAUAACAAAUAACAUUUUAGUGUGACAUUGAAUUAAAGCUGUAUGCUGGGGCUUCGUGUUCAGCAUAUAUGAGGUUUAAUACGACACUGUUUUCCUGGAAUUCUCUACAGAGUAGUUUUCUAGUUAAGUUAUAGCUGAACUCCCGUUAUUGUUCUGCGCAACACGUAUUGUUUGCCAGGGACCAUUCUGUCUGUUAACCAGGACCGCAUGAGCUGACCCUAAUUAAACAGAAGUAUCAUUUAUCUGAGUUAUCAUGAAAAGCGGCAAUAAUUGUUUCAGUUAAAGACGUUUUCUAGGAACUGUUUUGAAUUUCUUGGAAGCUAAUGUUUUGAAAGGCUAUCAUGCCGUUAUGGGGCGAAUGAUUUUCCGCAAAUGAACACAAACAAAUAAACAUUUUGAUGGGAUAAAUUGCA